CCGACGGUGAGGGACGAAACCCUGGGGCGCAAACCGGAUUAGAUACCCGGGUAGUCCAGGGCGUAAACGCUGCAGGCUUGGUGUUGGGGGCCCUACGUGGGCGCUCAGUGCCGGAGUGAAGAUGUUAAGCCUGCCGCUUGGGGAGUAUGUCCGCAAGGAUGAAACUUAAAGGAAUUGGCGGGAGAGCACAGCAACGGGAGGAGCGUGCGGUUCAAUUGGAUUCAACGCCGUAAAACUCACCGGGAGC
rnacentral:rRNA from 1 species